AAUGAUGAUGUCACUGAUUCUACUGCUGGCCACCCUGGGGCUCCUUGUUCAGGGUUCAUCAGGACAAAUCAUCCUGACUCAGUCUCCUGGAUCUCAGUCUGCUGUUCCAGGACAGACUGUCUCUCUCAGAUGUAAAACCAGUACAGGUGUUUAUAGUUCUGGUUACAGCUGGCUCAGCUGGUACCUUCAGAAACCUGGAGAAGCUCCUAAACUCCUGAUUUAUACAGCUACAACUCGUCAGUCUGGAGUUCCAGAUCGUUUUAGUGGAAGUGGAUCUGGGACUGACUUCACUCUGACCAUCAGUGGAGUUCAGGCUGAAGAUUCAGGAGUUUACUACUGUCAGCAGGGUUACAGCAGACCGUUCACACAGUGAUACAACGUCGUACAAAAACCUCCCUCAG